UUAACUGAAAUUUGUAUGACGUUGGAACGUUUGCCUACGUUUGCUGCUAGGCGCUCUUCCAACUGCAUACAAAUUUCAGUUA
rfam:Bombyx mori DNA, contig: Bm_scaf4_contig3928, strain: p50T/Dazao, build 2, whole genome shotgun sequence.